rnacentral:rRNA from 1 species
GACAAACGCUGGCGGCGUGCCUAAUACAUGCAAGUCGAACGACGAAAGCCUUCGGGCAAGUAAGAGUGGCGCACGGGCGAGGAACACGUAGAUAAUCUGCCCUUCAGUGGGGAAUAACUCUCCGAAAGGAGUGCUAAUACCGCAUAAGACCACAAGCUCUGCGGAGCAAGGGGUUAAAGGAUUUAUUCGCUGAAGGAUGAGUCUGCGUCCGAUUAGCUAGUUGGUGAGGUAAUGGCUUAACAAGGCAAUGAUCGGUAGAUGGUCUGAGAGGAUGAUCAUCCGCACUGGAACUGAGACACCGUACAGACUCCUACGGGAGGCAGCAGUAGGGAAUAUUGCACAAUGGGGGAAACCCUGAUGCAGCAACGCCGCGUGAGUGAUGAAGGCUCUAGGGUCGUAAAGCUCUGUCGUAUGGGAAGAAAAAAAUGACGGUACCAUACAAGAAAGGACCGGCCAACUUCGUGCCAGCAGCCGCGGUAA